GCAGGUGUCGUAUAAUGGCUAUUACUAUAGCCUUCCAAGCUGUAGAUACGGGUUCGAUUCCCGUCACCUGCUCCA
rnacentral:tRNA from 1 species